GAUGAGAACGUAGUAAAAUGCGAUAAGUAAUGUGAAUUGCAGAAUUCAGUGAAUCAUCGAAUCUUUGAACGCACAUUGCGCCCGCUGGUAUUCCGGCGGGCAUGCCUGUUCGAGCGUCAUUUCAACCCUCAAGCCCCCGGGUUUGGUGUUGGGGAUCGGCUCUGCCUUCUGGCGGUGCCGCCCCCGAAAUACAUUGGCGGUCUCGCUGCAGCCUCCAUUGCGUAGUAGCUAACACCUCGCAACUGGAACGCGGCGCGGCCAUGCCGUAAAACCCCAACUUCUGAAUGUUGACCUCGGAUCAGGUAGGAAUACCCGCUGAACUUAAGCAUAUCAAUAAGCGGAGGA
rnacentral:misc_RNA from 1 species